rnacentral:rRNA from 1 species
UGGGGAAUAUUGCACAAUGGACGGAAGUCUGAUGCAGCAACGCCGCGUGCAGGAUGACGGCCUUCGGGUUGUAAACCGCUUUUUCUCAUGACGAAGUUUUUUGACGGUAGUGGGGGAAGAAGCACCGGCUAACUACGUGCCAGCAGCCGCGGUGAUACGUAGGGUGCGAGCGUUGUCCGGAAUUAUUGGGCGUAAAGAGCUUGUAGGCGGUUUGUCGCGUCGAUAGUGCAAACUCAGUGCUUAACGCUGAGCCUGCUGUUGAUACGGGCAGACUAGAGGAAGGUAGGGGAGAAUGGAAUUCCCGGUGGAGCGGUGGAAUGCGCAGAUAUCGGGAGGAACACCGGUGGCGAAGGCGGUUCUCUGGGCCUUUCCUGACGCUGAGAAGCGAAAGCGUGGGGAGCGAACAGG